rnacentral:lncRNA from 1 species
ACACAUUUACCAUUUUUUAUAUAACAAAUAAAGAAAAAAUAGAAUAUUAAAAAUGAUAUAGGCAUCCAAAUAUCAAGAUACAAGUCUAGACACAAAGUCUUUGCUAUUUUACUUCUAUCAUAUUUAAGUAUCUUUUUGUUUAUUUAUUUAUAUUUUUUUUUUUGUAAGAAACACGACACUAGUUUGGCUGAGAGGUCAAAAGUGUUGGUUUUGGGCUCUGAUCCUGGGGCCCAUCAUCA